UCACCUCUCAAGCCCCCUGGGUUUGGCCUUGGACGGCUGGUCGGGCGACGCCCGACCCCUCCUAAAGACAACGACGGCGGCUUUGUCUGACCCCCGGUACACUGAGCUUCUUAACCGAGCACGUGCCGGAACGAGGGUCGGCGGGUCACGGUCUUCUCCCCUCACGGGGAAAUUUUCUCA
rnacentral:misc_RNA from 1 species